ACAGCCGUACGCAGUAGCACCUGUUCCCAUCUGACCUCCUGCCCUGCAAAACCACACUCUCACACUCACGCACUCGCACACUAAUAAAGUUACUCCUGUAAACAAAAGGAAAUCAUCCGGGCUAACCGGAUUGAUUUAGCGUUUCCUGCGGCACGGCUGUUGACACGGGGGCUGAUUUGAGCUGCCUGAUUGCUCGUCUGAGACGCGUGCUCCCUGGCACUCCGUCGACUCGGGGGGAAAAAACAAAGUACUCCUCGUGCCAGCUGUGGAUUAAACAUCAGUCGAGCGCCGCAACUGUUCAUUAAUCUCAUCUAAUUAAGUAGGAAAAGGAGAGAUAAAGUGGAGGUGAGGUGCGUUAAGAAUAAGGACGGAGCACUGCUUUACAAGAACAUGGACAGAGGAUGAACAGAAGAAUGUGCGCCCCGGAGGAAGAAUAGAGGUUUUUAAUAUUCAUAAUGCGUGACUUGGCUCUGACACGAACGGACACAGCUGUCAUCUCCGCAGAUUAUUACAGUCAGUUCCCUUCAGAACAGCGAACAUGGGGGGG